rnacentral:tRNA from 1 species
GCUGCCUGUUGCGCGGCUGCCUGUUGCGUGGCUGCGUGUUGCGCGGCUGCCGGCGGAGCGGCUGGCACGGCGGCCUGGUGCGCCGCCUGGCCGGCGUCG